GCAACUCGCCUGCAUGAAGGCGGAAUUGCUAGUAAUCGCGAAUCAGAAUGUCGCGGUGAAUACGUUCCCGGGCCUUGUACACACCGCCCGUCACACCAUGAGAGUCGAUAACACCCGAAGCCUGUGAGCUAACCUUAGGGAGCAGCAGUCGAAGGUGGGGUUGAUGAUUAGGGUGAAGUCGUAACAAGGUAUC
rnacentral:rRNA from 1 species